rnacentral:lncRNA from 1 species
AUGAAGGAAGGAAUAUCCCUAAGUUUGGGAAGGCACGGGGCCAGGAUGGCCCCGAUAGAGGGAAAAGAUGAACUGAUUGUAAGAGAGAGAAUAAGUAUAAGUUCCGAAUUGCUAUUGUUACGGGGCAGUUGGUGGCUCCCAGAGAGAACACACCACACUCAGAACCAGGAGGCUGCGAAUCCCACUCAGGGACAAAAAUGUCAAAAUCAGCUGGAAAAAGGCACGGAGGGUACGGGGCGCACGGAGAGCUGCCAAGGCACAUGUUUUGCCCGAGAGCGCCCCCCGUCAAUGUGCGCCCAACUCCGAGGCAUAAUUGGCGUCCCAUGUUGGACCGGCCCUGCAUAUAAGCUUGAUUGAAACAGCUAGAUGUAAAGGGGAAUAAGCAGAAUUCCCUGGUGCUGAAGUAUGUAUAGUAUACAGUAGAGUCUCACUUAUCCAACACUCGCUUAUCCAACGUUCUGGAUUAUCCAACACAUUUUUGUAGUCAAUGUUUUCAAUACAUCAUGAUAUUUUGGUGCUAAAUUCGUAAAUACAGUAAUUACUACAUAGCAUUACUGCAUAUUGAACUACUUUUUCUGUCAAAUUUGUUGUAUAACAUGAUGUUUUGGUGCUUAAUUUGUAAAAUCAUAACUUAAUUUGAUGUUUAAUAGGCUUUUCCUUAAUGCCUCCUUAUUAUCCAACAUAUUCGCUUAUCCAACAUUCUGCCAGCCCGUUUACGUUGGAUAAGUGAGACUCUACUGUACUUUGAUUCCAUGUGCUUGACAAAUUACCUGACAAUAAGAACCUAGAUGAGCAUCCCAUCUUUUAAAAAAAGAAAAGAAAAACUAACUUGAUCCAGUUACUUUUCACAGACAAAUGUGGUGAAACUUGUACUAUCGUACCUUCAUAUCCACACAUUCUGAAUCCAUGCAUUCAACCAUCCAUGGCUUGAAAAUAUUCCACAAAAAGAAAUUCCCAAAAGCAAACCUUGAUUUUGCCAUUUAAUUCAAGGGGCACCAUUUUACUAUGCUCUUGUAUAAAAUAGAGCUUUUGUAUCCAUGGGGGAUCUUAAACACUCUCAUGAACCAUUAGAAAUGGGCAAAAUACACAACGUAUAUAUAUAUAUA